UGGGUCAGUGACCCUGUCACGGACCCGGCUCUGGAGGACUCGGGGGUCCAUGAGCAGUGUUGACUGUUAUUAUUAUUAUUAUUACUACUACUAUUAUUAUUGUAAUUAUUUGGUGAUGUGUGUGUUUUUCUGCACAAUGCUGUGUUAUUCUGUGUUCCACUCGUUAUAUGUUUAGGCAGGUUGUGGGUGUGUAUAUGUGUGUCUUCGGGUGUGGCUGUUGGAUGGAGGACAGCCACCUGCAGGCCUGAUGGGUGUGGCCCUGCGGGAAGACUGACCACGCCUGAAGUCCCUGCCACACACACCGGUUGCUGAUCAGGGCUCGUCGGGGGAGCUAUUUAGGAGAGUGUUGGAGCUCCCACCGGCGCGGGAUCAUUGCGUUGUCAUCCCAAGAGGAAGAGUGGACCAGAAAGGCAGCAUGCACGGGGUGUGCGGAAACAUGACAGCGAGGAGCACGAGCACAGACGCCAGAGGGGAGCACACACACGGGAGUCAAGGGAGCAACGGGGAUUCAUUGUGUUUACAGCUUUCACUGUUAAUAAAGUGCACUGUUUGCAUCGUAGAAUCCUGUGUUUUGGGUCCUCCUUUCCCCACAUCCCCACGGUUUGCCCUGGCAAACCAUGACAGACCCAGUGUUUUUGGUUGUUGUACUUUUACUUUUGAUAGUUUUAUGUAUCAAAACUGUUGUGUUUUGGUUUCCCAGGGUUUAGUUGUGUUCCCUGUGUUUGGUGUUAUCCCUGCCUGUGUAUCCGCUUUUAUGUAGUAAGGUCUCUGUGUUUAGUUCACGUUUCUUAGUCUGUGUCUUUGCGUGUAUGUACUCCUGUUUCACUUUGAAGGUCCCUGUCUGAUGUCAGUGUGUUCUGUUACGUUUCCCUGCCUCGUCAGCUGUGAUGUCUUCCAGGUGUGUUCCCCUCCUGUUUCCCAUCCCUUGAUUCCUGGUGUGUGUAUUUAUAGUGUGUGUUACCUCGUCCUCGUUGCUGGUUUGUCUGCAUCUCUCUGUCCAUCAUUCUGUGUAUUUCCCUGUGCCUCCCUGCAUCUGGUUAGUUUCUGUUAGUUUUUCCCAGUUUAGGUUUUCUUAGUUUCAUGCUCCCCCUCGCCAUCUCUGUUUGUAUCUUGUUAAAGGAUUUUUAUAUGUAUUCUGCUUUAUUGUAGUUAAAAAAUCCCUAGUUGUUUAGCUUCAUUUAAAACUCCUAUUUCACUGUGUUUCAUGACAAAGCUUGCAUGAGGAAAUACCACAGGUGCCUCCACCCUUGCUGAGUUUGCUGAGAUAAGCUUGACCAGUUCCUAUUUUUAACUGUUUGAACAUAUGUUUCAUGCUUAUCACCUUGUAAGGAGUUGUUUUACACACAAGGGGCACCGACCUGACAUAUUUUAGGAAGGAGCAGUGUAUAAAUACAGAGGGAACUGAUGUCUCAGUGUGAGUCUCCACUGAGAUCACCCAUGUAUAUACAUGUUUGAGUUGUGUCUUUCUUUGCUUGCUGAAACGAUUCUUUGACA